rnacentral:misc_RNA from 1 species
GCAGGAGCUGGCUUGCUGGCGAUUGGGACAACGCGGUAUACAGCGAAACCGCGCCGUUUCUAUCGCCAGCAAGCCGGUUCCUAC